rnacentral:rRNA from 1 species
ACCGAUCACGUCUAUAAUGCAGUCGACGCUUUGUGGUUCAACUGAUUUGAAGAGCUUGCUCAGAUAUGACGAUGGACAUUGCAAAGAGUGGCGAACGGGUGAGUAACACGUGGGAAACCUACCUCUUAGCAGGGGAUAACAUUUGGAAACAGAUGCUAAUACCGUAUAACAAUGACAACCGCAUGGUUGUUAUUUAAAAGAUGGUUCUGCUAUCACUAAGAGAUGGUCCCGCGGUGCAUUAGCUAGUUGGUAAGGUAAUGGCUUACCAAGGCGAUGAUGCAUAGCCGAGUUGAGAGACUGAUCGGCCACAAUGGGACUGAGACACGGCCCAUACUCCUACGGGAGGCAGCAGUAGGGAAUCUUCCACAAUGGGCGAAAGCCUGAUGGAGCAACGCCGCGUGUGUGAUGAAGGGUUUCGGCUCGUAAAACACUGUUGUAAGAGAAGAAUGACAUUGAGAGUAACUGUUCAAUGUGUGACGGUAUCUUACCAGAAAGGAACGGCUAAAUACGUGCCAGCAGCCGCGGUAAUACGUAUGUUCCAAGCGUUAUCCGGAUUUAUUGGGCGUAAAGCGAGCGCAGACGGUUAUUUAAGUCUGAAGUGAAAGCCCUCAGCUCAACUGAGGAAUUGCUUUGGAAACUGGAUGACUUGAGUGCAGUAGAGGAAAGUGGAACUCCAUGUGUAGCGGUGAAAUGCGUAGAUAUAUGGAAGAACACCAGUGGCGAAGGCGGCUUUCUGGACUGUAACUGACGUUGAGGCUCGAAAGUGUGGGUAGCAAACAGGAUUAGAUACCCUGGUAGUCCACACCGUAAACGAUGAGUGCUAGGUGUUUGAGGGUUUCCGCCCUUAAGUGCCGCAGCUAACGCAUUAAGCACUCCGCCUGGGGAGUACGACCGCAAGGUUGAAACUCAAAGGAAUUGACGGGGACCCGCACAAGCGGUGGAGCAUGUGGGUUUAAUUCGAAGCAACGCGAAGAACCCUUACCAGGUCUUGACAUCCCUUGACAACUCCAGAGAUGGGAGUGUUCCCUUUCGGGGACAGGUGACAGGUGGUGCAUGGAUUGUCGUCAGCUCGUGUCGUGAGAUGUUGGGUUUAAGUCCCGCACGAGCGCACCCCUUAUUACUAGUGCAGCAAUCAGCUGGGCACCUCUAGUGAGACCUGCAGUGACCAAACGGCAGAGGGUGGGGAUGGAACGUUCCAAAAAU